CGACCCUCGGGACCCCUCCCCUUAGGGGCUGCGGUCCCGGCCUUGGGCCAGCGCGCGUCGCCCCCCUGGGGGGCGCUGCGCGGCCCGCAGACCAGCGGCGGCAGCACUGGCGACGUCCCCUGCGCAGUAGCUAACACUCGCACCGGUCUCCCAGCGCGGCCCGCCUCGAAACCCCAUCUUCCUUCA
rnacentral:misc_RNA from 1 species